rnacentral:sRNA from 1 species
AAUUUGUCCCGCCUGUGCCCCCACCGCCCUACUAUCCCCCAGAGUAUACCUGCAGCUCAGAAACAGAUGCACAGAGCAUCACGUACAAUGGCUCCAUGGACAGCCCAGUGCCCUUGUACCCUACCGAUUGCCCCCCUUCUUAUGAGGCGGUCAUGGGGCUACGAGGAGACAGCCAGGCCACUCUCUUUGACCCUCAGCUUCACGAUGGCUCGUGCAUCUGUGAGCGAGUGGCCUCCAUUGUAGACGCUGGAGGCACAGUGGCCCCUAGAGGCUGGGCUUGGGAGAAGAGGAACUGCCUGGGCAGGGCUAGGCCAGGCCAGGCUGGUGCUACACAGCGCCCCCUGCCGCCCACAGUGUCCAUGGACAGCGGGUCUCUGGUGCUGUCAGCCAUUGGUGACCUCCCUGGGGGCUCUAGCCCGUCGGAGGACUCGUGCCUGCUGGAGCUGCAGGGCUCCGUGCGCUCCGUGGACUACGUGCUCUUUCGCUCCAUCCAGCGCAGCCGUGCCGGCUACUGCCUCAGCCUGGACUGUGGCCUGCGGGGCCCCUUCGAGGAAAGCCCCCUGCCACGGCGCCCCCCACGGGCCGCCCGCUCCUAUUCCUGCUCUGCCCCUGAAGCUCCACCCCCACUGGGUGCCCCCACAGCUGCCCGCAGCUGCCACCGGUUGGAGGGCUGGCCGCCCUGGGUGGGACCCUGCUUCCCCGAGCUGAGGCGGCGGGUCCCCCGGGGAGGGGGCCGCCCAGCCGCAGCCCCGCCCACCCGAGCCCCGACUCGUCGCUUCAGCGAUAGCUCAGGUUCCCUCACCCCACCGGGGCACCGGCCUCCUCAUCCGGCAUCCCCACCACCGCUGCUGCUGCCACGGUCCCACAGCGACCCAGGCAUCACGACCUCCAGUGACACUGCUGACUUCAGGGACCUUUAUACCAAAGUGCUUGAGGAAGAAGCUGCUUCUGUUUCCUCUGCAGAUACAGGGCUCUGCUCUGAAGCCUGCCUCUUCCGCCUAGCCCGCUGCCCUUCCCCCAAGUUGCUACGUGCCCGGUCAGCCGAGAAACGGCGCCCUGUGCCCACCUUCCAAAAAGUUCCCCUGCCCUCGGGCCCUGCACCUGCCCACUCCCUGGGGGACCUAAAGGGCAGCUGGCCAGGUCGGGGCCUGGUCACUCGUUUCCUCCAGAUAUCCAGGAAAGCCCCAGACCCCAGUGGGACUGGAGCUCAUGGACAUAAGCAGGUGCCCCGGAGCCUGUGGGGCCGGCCUGGCCGAGAGAGCCUCCACCUUCGCAGCUGUGGAGAUCUGAGCUCUAGCUCUUCCCUGCGGCGUCUCCUGUCUGGCCGCAGGCUGGAGCAUGGUACCCGCCCCCACAGCCUCAGCCUCAACGGGGGCAGCCGGGAGACUGGGCUCUGACCUGGGCUUCUUGUCACACUGAACACAUCCAGCCACAGGCACCAGCUGGUUGGGACCAGCAGCCCCCAGCAUCCUCUUGCACUGGCUGGCACAAAAAGAAACCUGCUGUAUACCCCCCAAAGUGUCCCUUUCCCUCCUACCUCUGGGGUCUCUUGCUGCUUGCCUCUGCUGCUCUGGACUGGGAGAGCUUCUGUCCUGUGCUGCAUGGGUAUUUAGGCUGUGGGGGAGAUGCCCCUGCUUAUAGCACUGGAGGAGGAAAACAAAUUCUUGUCCCCCCCAGAAUGAGAGUGGCUCUUUCUGAUUUGCAAGGGCACUGUGGUCAGGACAAAGGCAUGGCCCAGGUGUUUAAGUACAGGGUGACGUGUGCCUAUGCAAUGGGGUGGUAAGGCAGGCACGAAGAGUCCAAAAAAUCUAGGUGGCCUCUCAGCUCUGCCACCUCUAGCUGCAUGACCUUGGGCAAGCUAUGUAACCCCAAUUGCCUGAUCCAUUAAAGACUGUGAAGGUAGAAUGUUUGUAAAGCUCUUAACAGUAUGUAAGCCUUCAAUAAAUUUCAGUUUUCCCCUUC